GUGGGGAAUAUUGGACAAUGGGCGAAAGCCUGAUCCAGCCAUGCCGCGUGUGUGAAGAAGGUCUUCGGAUUGUAAAGCACUUUAAGUUGGGAGGAAGGGCAGUAAGUUAAUACCUUGCUGUUUUGACGUUACCGACAGAAUAAGCACCGGCUAACUUCGUGCCAGCAGCCGCGGUAAUACGAAGGGUGCAAGCGUUAAUCGGAAUUACUGGGCGUAAAGCGCGCGUAGGUGGUUUUGUAAGUUGGAGGUGAAAUCCCCGGGCUCAACCUGUGAACUGCCUCCAAAACUGCAUGACUAGAGUACGGUAGAGGGUAGUGGAAUUUCCUGUGUAGCGGUGAAAUGCGUAGAUAUAGGAAGGAACACCAGUGGCGAAGGCGACUACCUGGACUGAUACUGACACUGAGGUGCGAAAGCGUGGGGAGCAAACAGGAUUAGAUACCCGUGUAGUCC
rnacentral:rRNA from 1 species